rnacentral:rRNA from 1 species
GGGGAAUAUUGCACAAUGGGCGAAAGCCUGAUGCAGCAACGCCGCGUGAGUGAUGAAGGUCUUCGGAUUGUAAAGCUCUGUCUUUUGGGACGAUAAUGACGGUACCAAAGGAGGAAGCACGGCUAACUACGUGCCAGCAGCCGCGGUAAUACGUAGUGGCGAGCGUUGUCCGGAUUUACUGGGCGUAAAGGGUGCGUAGGCGGAUGUUUAAGUGAGAUGUG